AAAGAGGAGGAAGAAGAAGUGGUGGUGGUGGCAGCUACAAAAGAAGAAGAAAAGGAGGAAGAAAAAAGAAAUAUCGAUUUGAAACGUAGAUUUACAAUGGGUAUUAUACCUGUAGCACUUGCCUCCUUUAUCUCUGGUUUAGCAGGUGCAUUGGCACAAAAAUCUCUUCAAGGAGUUGGUACGUCCGGUGGAGGACGUAAUUCACAAUUGUUUACAAUGGAAUUAUCCUUCUUUAGUGCAAUCGUGUUGGGAUUGUCUAUAUUGGGAAAUAAGGAUGAUCGUAUGUCGAUUAAGGAGAAUGGAUUU
rnacentral:ribozyme from 1 species